rnacentral:rRNA from 1 species
CCUACGGGUGACAGCAGUGGGGAAUAUUGCACAAUGGGGGAAACCCUGAUGCAGCGACGCCGCGUGAGUGAAGAAGUAUUUCGGUAUGUAAAGCUCUAUCAGCAGGAACGAGACAAGACGGUACCUGACUAAGAAGCCCCGGCUAACUACGUGCCAGCAGCCGCGGUAAUCCGUAGGGGGCAAGCGUUAUCCGGAAUCACUGGGUGGAAAGGGAGCGUAGACGGCUGAGCAAGCCUGAAGUGAAAGGCGGGGGCCCAACCCCCGGACUGCUUUGGGAACUGUACGGCUGGAGUGCAGGAGAGGUAAGUGGAAUUCCUAGUGUAGCGGUGAAAUGCGUAGAUAUUAGGAGGAACACCAGUGGCGAAGGCGGCUUACUGGACUGUAACUGACGUUGAGGCUCGAAAGCGUGGGGAGCAAACAGGAUUAGAUACCCCAGUAGUC